ACAAAAAAAUCGGACGCUCAUUUCUGAGCGUCCUUUCAUGGGAGAGGAGAAACCGGACGAAGAGCUUAUGGGGAAACGUAAGUCUUCUCCGCGG
rfam:Paenibacillus sp. JDR-2, complete genome.